rnacentral:rRNA from 1 species
GGGGGGGGGGGGGGGGGGGGGGGGGGGGGGGGGGGCGGGGGGGCGCGCCCCGGGUGGUGGGGGGGGGUGGGGUGGCGAGCGGGGGAGGAUCACGCGAGUAACCUGCCCCCUGCUCCUGGAUAACUGCUUGACAGGGCGGCUACUACGGGGUGGGCCGGCUGGUCCGCAUGGGCCUGGCCGGGAUAGUUUCAUCUUCGGGUGUUUCGGUGGGGGAUGGGCUCGCGGCCUAUCAGCUUGUGGGUGGGGUGAUGGCCCACCCAGGCGGUGACGGGUAGCCGGCCUGGGAGGGUGGGCGGCGAGACUGGGACGGAGACCCGGCGCAGACUCCUGCGGGAGGCAGCAGUGGGGGGUAUUGCACAAUGGGCGGAAGCCUGAUGCAGCGACGUCGCGUGAGGGAUGGAGGCCUUCGGGUUGUGAACCUCUUUCUCCGGUGGUGAAGGCCCUGUCCGUUGCGGCGGGGUUGACGGUAGCCGGGUAUGAAGCGCCGGCUAACUACGUG